CUUGUCUGUCUGUGCCUCUGAGUCAUUACUUCACUAAGUCUUGUCUGGGAAAAGCUUAUUAUUUCCAAAACGAAGCCUCAGACCUUAGGUAUCUUGGAAAUGUAUGAAAAUAGUGAGGCAAAAGGAAAAUGACAACCAAAAAUUACAACAAUGUGUUGUUUGAAGAUUUCUGAAAAUAUAAGAGCUAAAAGCUGGGCUAAGUGCUGGCUGGAAUACAGGGAACUAAUUCCAGAGCUGACGUAAAUAAGCUCCCUCAAAGACAGUGAGACAACACCGAUUUACACAAAGCGUGGUUCGAGCCUGGGAAAUUCAGAUCCGUGCAGAAGCUUAGAUAAGAUACAUCUAGGCAAAUAUUUUAGUGCGAGGACUCUUCAUUCACCAGUCUCUAUAGCACCUCAAACAAGGCUGCCUGGCUGCUGAAAUGGAUCCUGUACUCUUCAUUUAUGCCAUAAUUUCACAUCG